CUGAAUGCCGCAUCCGCUGGGGAUUAUUAUUAUUAUAUUUUUUGCUUUUUCUUGAACCCCAAAACUUCUUUGAUUUUUUUCUUUUUUCUUUUCUUGAACCCCAGAAUUUUUCCGCGCGAGUGAUCCCCAAUCACCGCAUUUGAACCCCGAUAACUUCAUGUCGCUCCUGCCAAACAAUGAACCCCGUUCUCCAUUUGAAACCCCAGUCGCUUGACGAUAACUCGCGAUCGUCGUUGUGAACCCCAUUCUCCAGAAAACACCUUGUGUCUCCUUUUC
rnacentral:lncRNA from 1 species